AUACACAGAGGGCAAUUUAUUCUAGUAAUGAGGAUUAUAUGAUAACUAUACGAAGGUGGUCAAGGAAACUGCACUACAGGGGCCAAAAUAGAAGUCAAACAACUCAAAACAACAAACGACAGGUCAAAAGGUAAGGGUACCGCCCGUUGUGCCCAGGGAGAGGAUUUGGGGUUGGGGUUUGAUCCUAACUCACAUACGUACACACACACACACACACAACGUAAACUUUAUGGCUAACAGAUACUGGAAAUUGGAGCGGGAAAGGGGGAAGAGAAAGUGGCACUGGACAGGCAAAUAGAGCAAAGCGAACAAAUGAGCAACAACAAAAUGGCCAAAUGGCCAAAAGACAAAA